rnacentral:rRNA from 1 species
GAUGAACGCUGGCGGCGUGCCUAAUACAUGCAAGUCGAGCGAACAGACGAGGAGCUUGCUCCUCUGACGUUAGCGGCGGACGGGUGAGUAACACGUGGAUAACCUACCUAUAAGACUGGGAUAACUUCGGGAAACCGGAGCUAAUACCGGAUAAUAUAUUGAACCGCAUGGUUCAAUAGUGAAAGACGGUUUUGCUGUCACUUAUAGAUGGAUCCGCGCCGCAUUAGCUAGUUGGUAAGGUAACGGCUUACCAAGGCAACGAUGCGUAGCCGACCUGAGAGGGUGAUCGGCCACACUGGAACUGAGACACGGUCCAGACUACUACGGGAGGCAGCAGUAGGGAAUGUUCCGCAAUGGGCGAAAGCCUGACGGAGCAACGCAGCGUGAGUGAUGAAGGUCUUCGGAUCGUAAAACUCUGUUAUUAGGGAAGAACAAAUGUGUAAGUAACUAUGCACGUCUUGACGGUACCUAAUCAGAAAGCAACGGCUAACUACGUG